rnacentral:lncRNA from 1 species
CGGGUGAGCCCAGAACGGGUGCAGCCCAGAACUGUCUUCUGAGGAAGAGGUGCUCUCCUGGGCCCCCACUGUCCCCAGGCCUCAGAUGCUGCAUAUUGCUGGCCCAGCUCCUGAGGCUCUUUGGACCUCCAGGAAUCGGUGUCUCUAUCAGGAACCCUUAACCCUGACCCGGACUCCCGGCUGGGACCCGGGGUGUUGGAGUGGCAAGAGCGCUGUCAGGCCUGGUGAAGGGUGUGAGCUGUCCAACAGGGCAAGGAGGAGGCAGGGCCUGUUCUGUAGUUGGACAGACAGAGCCCUCUAGCUGCUUUCUGGAAGACUGAAGGGCAGGCGAUGUUGGAGGGAGGGAGUGCAGGCAGGGGCUGUGAGGGAGUUCAGGUCAGAAACAGGUGGCGCCUGGAUUCAGGCUGUGGUGGUCACGGUGGGGAUGAGGGGCUGCUUUGGAUUGUGCUGGGGAUGUGGGGUGGUGCGCUGCAUGACUACUGCCAGGUCUCUCUGCUCUUGGUGUCUGCAUCCAGGGCUGGGAGGGGGUCAAAUGUAUCACACUAUCGGCCCCAGGCCCACCAAGCCUGGGGAGGUGACCACCCUUCCACGAUGGCAUUUGGAUGUUCCCUGUGUGUGGGGAGGGCACAGGGACUCCAUUCCUAGACUACCUCUGGGACAGUGUGUCUACCUCUGAGGUCAGAUGCUCUGCACUGGGACAGGGUGGAGUGGAGGGAAACCCAGCUUGGGGCUCAUUGGAGGGGCUUGCUGGCAGACACCGCCCUUUGUGGGAAACUGACUGUGGGAGAGGGGAACCCCAACCUCUGUCACCACAUCCCUCUUCCCUGUUGUCACACCUGUCACCUGCUGCCAUAGCCAUGAGACUUCCCAAGGGUCACUGCUGCCACUCACUGCACAGCCUGGAAGGGAGUCCACAGGGGACAUAGAGUGAGCAAGAGACCUGUGCCACUCAGGCCUCCUGGGGGUGUCCCCAGUGCAGCCAUGAUGAUAAUCACAGCUACCAUUCACCAAGUCCUGCCCACAGUCUAACCUACUCUAUUCACAACA